rnacentral:rRNA from 1 species
CUAGUAAUCGCGGAUCAGCAUGCCGCGGUGAAUACGUUCCCGGGCCUUGUACACACCGCCCGUCACACCAUGGGAGCCGGUAAUACCCGAAGUCAGUAGUCCAACCUCGUGAGGACGCUGCCGAAGGUAGGAUUGGCGACUGGGGUGAAGUCGUAACAAGGUAAC